rnacentral:rRNA from 1 species
AAGCGGUGGAGCAUGUGGUUAAUUCGAUGAUACGCGAAGAACCUUACCAGGUCUUGACAUCCCGAUGCUAUUUCUAGAGAUAGAAGGUUACUUCGGUACAUCGGUGACAGGUGGUGCAUGGUUGUCGUCAGCUCGUGUCGUGAGAUGUUGGGUUAAGUCCCGCAACGAGCGCAACCCCUAUUGUUAGUUGCCAUCAUUCAGUUGGGCACUCUAGCGAGACUGCCGGUAAUAAACCGGAGGAAGGUGGGAUGACGUCAAAUCAUCAUGCCCCUUAUGACCUGGGCUACACACGUGCUACAAUGGUUGGUACAACGAGUUGCGAGUCGGUGACGGCGAGCUAAUCUCUUAAAGCCAAUCUCAGUUCGGAUUGUAGGCUGCAACUCGCCUACAUGAAGUCGGAAUCGCUAGUAAUCGCGGAUCAGCACGCCGCGGUGAAUACGUUCCCGGGCCUU